rnacentral:rRNA from 1 species
UCGAAUUAAAAAGAGCUAUAAUUAUAUAUAUUUAAUAGUUGCAGAAAUUUUUAGGAUAUAAUUAUAGAUGUGAAAUGCUAGUCGUUUUUUAAAAUAUCUAGUUUCUUAAGAAAUAAAUUUAAUUUAGUUUUUUUAAUUUAUUGAUUUAAUUAUUUAGGUGUUUAAUUAAAAAAAGUAAUAUUUUAGGGGAUAAGCUCUAAAAUAAAUUAUUAAAAAGUAAAUUUUAGUAUAAAAAGUGUGUAGGAUUGGAACUGUUUUUCUUUAGUGUGUUAUAAUUAAUUUUUUUAUAAAUAAGAUUUAUAUAAGUUUUAAGUUUUUUAUUAAGAUUAUUUAUAUAAUAAUAAAAUAUAUGAAAUAAUGAUAAAAUUAGUAUAAAAGUAUUGUAAAUUAUUAAAUUAAGUUAAGGUUAAGUUAAGGAACUCGGCAAAUUUAUUUUUCGCCUGUUUAUUAAAAACAUGUCCUUUUGAUUAUAAUUUAAGGUCUAACCUGCCCAAUGAGUGUUUAAAUGGCCGCGGUAAUUUGACCGUGCAAAGGUAGCAUAAUCAUUAGUUUUUUAAUUGAAAGCUGGAAUGAACGGUUGGACGAGAAAAUAGCUGUCUCAAUUUAAUUGGAAUUAGAAUUUUAUUUAUAAGUAAAAAAGCUUAUAUAAGUUUAAAAGACGAGAAGACCCUAUAGAAUUUUAUAUUUAUAUUUAUUAAUUUUUUUUAGUAUAUACUUUUAUUAAUAAGUUAGAAUAUUUUGUUGGGGUGAUGGAAAAAUUUAAUAAACUUUUUUUAUAUAUUGACAUAAAUUAAUGAGUUAUUGAUCCGUUUUUUACGAUUAUAAGAUUAAAUUACCUUAGGGAUAACAGCGUAAUUUUUUUUUAGAGUUCUAAUCGAAAAAAGAGUUUGCGACCUCGAUGUUGGAUUAAAAUAAACUUUUGGUGUAGGGGCUAAAUAGUUGGGUCUGUUCGA